rnacentral:rRNA from 1 species
UAAGGAAUAUUGGUCAAUGGGCGCAAGCCUGAACCAGCCAUGCCGCGUGCAGGAAGACGGCCCUACGGGUUGUAAACUGCUUUUGUACCGGAAUAAACCUUGAUUCGUGAAUCAAGCUGAAUGUACGGUAAGAAUAAGGAUCGGCUAACUCCGUGCCAGCAGCCGCGGUAAUACGGAGGAUCCAAGCGUUAUCCGGAUUUAUUGGGUUUAAAGGGUGCGUAGGCGGUUCUUUAAGUCAGGGGUGAAAGACGGUAGCUUAACUAUCGCAGUGCCUUUGAUACUGAAGAACUUGAAUACACUUGAGGUAGGCGGAAUGUGACAAGUAGCGGUGAAAUGCAUAGAUAUGUCACAGAACACCAAUUGCGAAGGCAGCUUACUAAAGUGUCAUUGACGCUGAGGCACGAAAGCGUGGGGAUCAAACA